GAGAAGUCCCGCAGGGGCGACAUGAGAUCACAUGCAACGCAUUGCCUAAUGCCUAUACAUGUGGUGUGGUGGGAGUGUUUGUGUUUAUGUGUGUUCUCAGGUCGCCCCUGUGGGAUUUCUUC
rnacentral:pre_miRNA from 1 species